CAUGUUUUACAACUAAUGUUAACCGAGGACGUUAUUAUUCUUAAUUUUAAACAUGUCCAGUGACGUUUGAAUUUAUAUAUAGCACGCCCUUUACACCAUGAACAUGUUUUUAAUGUUUCAGUAGUAUACAAUUUCGUUCAGCGGUGCUCCAGCGUUGGAUAAUUGUAUUGUAAUUAUACGUAACUGACCGUAACAAAGAUGUUGAUGUGCUUUAGAAAUGAGCAAAAACGAGGAAAUAUAAAUAUUGAAAAGCGAAUAAAGAAGGACAAAAAGGACUUACAGGAAGAGGUCAGAGUUCUAUUGUUAGGGACAAAUCAAAGUGGCAAAAGUACUCUUAUACGACAGUUGAAGAUUGUCCAUGGAGUUGGUUUCUCUGAAGAUGAGAAAAGAAGUUUUAUUGUACCUAUACAUCAUCAGAUUGCUACGACAAUUCAAAAGUUGAUCUGUGCAAUGGAUUUGUUAAAAAUAGAUUACGAGAAUCCUGAAAAUGAGGAAAAUGCCAGGAAGUUAAUGCAAAAAGAAUAUUCGAACGUAAGAACAUUUGCCAAAGAAGAUAUAUAUACAAUAAAGAAAUUAUGGUCAGAACCAGGGUUGAGACAAUGCUGCGAAGAAGGGAGAGAAUACCAGUUAUCAGAUUCCCA